rnacentral:rRNA from 1 species
AGUGAACGCUGGCGGUAGGCCUAACACAUGCAAGUCGAACGGCAGCACAGUAAGAGCUUGCUCUUACGGGUGGCGAGUGGCGGACGGGUGAGGAAUACAUCGGAAUCUACUUUUUCGUGGGGGAUAACGUAGGGAAACUUACGCUAAUACCGCAUACGACCUACGGGUGAAAGCAGGGGAUCUUCGGACCUUGCGCGAUUGAAUGAGCCGAUGUCGGAUUAGCUAGUUGGCGGGGUAAAGGCCCACCAAGGCGACGAUCCGUAGCUGGUCUGAGAGGAUGAUCAGCCACCAUGGAACUGAGACACGGUCCAGGCUCCUACGGGAGGCAGCAGUGGGGAAUAUUGGACAAUGGGCGCAAGCCUGAUCCAGCCAUACCGCGUGGGUGAAGAAGGCCUUCGGGUUGUAAAGCCCUUUUGUUGGGAAAGAAAAGCAGCAGGUUAAUACCCCGCUGUUCUGACGGUACCCAAAGAAUAAGCACCGGCUAACUUCGUG